AAUGGUAAUGGUUAAUAUGCACUGAGAACUUGAAAUAAUAGUAAUAAUUUAAUGCUUUCCUCUAUACAGCACUGUGCUAAGCAUUUUAGACAAAUUUAUCUAACAUUAACAUGAUGUUUAUCCCCAUUUUAAAUGUAAAAAACGGAAAUUUAAGAGAGGACACAUAGUGAGUGACGGGACAGAGUUAAGAGUCAAACCCAAGUCUGUGUUUUCAGGGUCCAUAUGUUUAACCAGUUUGCUGAAUUCUGAGAGGGUAAAUGGUUUGCCCCAAAUAAUCUGGCUAGAAAGCAUGGAUUUUGACCCAUAAUUUCUGUGUCCUUUUAUAUUGUAAAUAUUUCAAUAUAUAAAUAUCUAUUGGAGCUACUCUAAGUAGAACAACAGAGCCUCUGUAGAAAGGAAAGAUUCCACUGUUUUUAAUUUCAAAUAACUCAGAAUGGACUUUAAAAAGAAUGCUGCCUGUUAGGGAAUGAGUCCAAAGUCCUGCCGUGUCUGUUAAUGAACUAUAUUAAUUAUUUGCAAACAUGUAAAAUGCAAGUGAAUAUUUUUGAUUUUCGAAGAAUCAGAAUCUCCUUGACUUUCAAGGAAGUGUUCACAGAAUUAAGCUGUGCACAAAAGAAAAGAGUAGAACAGGAGGGAAGCUAGUAGAAUCUGCACACGUUAAAAAGAAAUGAAUGAGUCUGAUGCUGAGCACUAGACUUCUAUAUCCACUGCUGACAUCAAAAAAGACAGAAUGGCCAAAAACUGAAGGAAAGUGCUACCAAGAGCUGCUACCAAGAACCUAUUGACUACAAGAGUAAUGUGGUCUUGAAAUAGAUUAUUUGGGAAAUCAUAGCAUCUCCUCUAUGGUUUACAGGGAAAGACCAGUGUCUUAUUUAGCACUUAUAUAUGUUCACUAAAUAUGCUACAAUUACCAUCCUAGCUAAAAGAUGUCACAGCCCAACCCUUCAUUAAAAAAAAAGAGAGAAAACGAAAAGUGAAGAAAAGCAGCUUAGCAAUUAUUCUCCAUGGGAAAAAUGACUAUAAAAUAAAUGCACCUCAUAAAUUAUUUGCAGACAUGUCCAUAUUAGAAUGAAAUAAGAUCUUUCAGAGGAUAACACACCUGUGCCAUGGAUAAUUGCCCUCAUUCACAAAUAAUAAGUGGUCUACCAGAUGUUUAGCCCCACACAGACAUAUGUAAGGCAAAGCAGUAGGAGAGGGUGUCUUAGCUCAGACCCGAGACGAUCUUUUUUAUCCUUUACAAGCUUCCAUGCUGUGUCAGCAGCUUAUUUAGUAAGGUAACCAAAAUCAUGGAGGAUUCCAACUGUUAAGUACUAACAUUUCACUUCAGCUAUUACACUUACAGGUAGAGAACCCCACAGGGUGAUUAGAAACCUGAAGUCUGAAUUAGAUGUCUACAUUUCUUUUGUUUCCUUUUUACUUUUGACAGAUGCAAACAAUAAAAAUUUUCUUAAAUUUCAAGGGUCUCAUCAAUAUGAAAAGGGUAUUGCAAAGCUAAAUAGAACUUCAAAAUGUGGCUAGAAACAACUUUACUUAUCUAAUGAAUGUGAUUCCAUUUUGGAGAAUAAAUAUUAGAAUGAUUCUAUAAUUAUCAUUCUUGUUUUCUGUAAUAUUCAAUGUACCAAAAGACAUCAUGUGAAAUAAAGGCUGUUCCAGUUACUAAAGUGCUGACAGGGAGUAUUAUUGGUGCACUAUUGGCCUUCGCAGUGGCCUAGGUAUAACUGGUGUUAUACAAGAUGAUUUCACUUGUUAGUUUGUUUCAGAAGUAUAUGUUCAAACAGGUGAAACAAGUUUAACUGUGUGACACUACUGUGAAUAUUACAUAACUGGUGAUUACAUCCAAAAGAUAAAUAUUAAUUAUAUUCCCAAACUCACAGAAAGCCCUCGCAAGUAAGUUACAAUAGCAUAAAAAAUGUCUUUUUAGCAUGCCAGUGGGCCACGAUCAGUGUAACAUCUCUCUCAUUAAUAUCAAAGGAGAUUUGUGUGAACAUGUUGUGUCUCCCUUGAUGACAAACUCAAGAGCACAAGGAAUCCACCCUCAAGUACCCAGAGCUGAUGUUAAUAAUAAUACAUGCACAAUGUUCACAGCUAGCAUUCUUCCCCUUCUUCAUCUGAGAACGGCUCCCAGCCAUACCCUGCACUUACGCGCACACACUCACACUUAUACACGACUACAGCGGGAACUUCCACACCUCUACAUGAUCAUGCUGCCGAGACAGACUUAAACAGUCCAGGAGUGGACACCUGACCUUAGCUAGACCAAUCAGAGUCCUUGAAAGAAAAUCAGCCUCCUCUCUUUCAGAGGACCUUUGGCAAGGCGCCAAGUAUGUGGAAGAAGCAAACUUUCAGGGAGAAAGGGUGAAACUAAAAGGCCAAGAGGAGCAGUGACGAGAGACGGCGUGAGCCCUGAGGCCUGUCUAGUCUCUGCUUCCAGCUCUUCUUACGACCCUGUUGAAUCCCUGUCCUCCUGCAGUUUAAGUUGUGCAAAUUGUACCUGGAUUCCAUGAAACACUAAUUUACUUUUUUGGCCUAAGCUAGUUUGAUUUCUGUAGCUUAUAAUCAAAGAGACCUAACAAAUUAUAUUAAGCACAUGUAGCAUGUAAGUCAAGUUUUAACCAUUUUCUUCCAAAAUUAAAGUUGACUCACAACUUAAAAUCCUACCACAACAUAAGCAAAGACUCAGAGGCAAAACUGAGAAUGAUACACCUAGGGAAAGAAAAGCAGUAAGUACAACCAAAUUGAACUGAUCCUGCAAUGGAGAGGAUGGAAGUAGUUUUACCAAGAGUAAACGAAAGUAAAGCAGGAAGAACACCAGAAAGAGCACUGUGAAGGAUUGGAGAGAAAAACAAUAGGAGGCUAAUGCAGGGGUCUUUACACAAGACGUGGUGCCGGGACUGAGGCGAUGGGAUGGAGGAGAAAAACGAAAACGUUCAUAUUUCAUAAGAAUAAUUAACUAGGAAGAGGUGGGGAUAUGAGGACAAACACUUAUUGAGCACCCAUUACAUGUCAGUCACGGUUUUAAAUAAAUCUCUCUCCAUUUUAAAAUAUAUGUAUAUCUAUACAUAUGUAUAGAUAUACACUCAUGCACACAUACUUUAAUCUUCACAACAACCUUAUAUGGUAAGAGGUAAUCCAUUUUAACUGAGAAAACUGAGACCUAGAAAUAUUACAUUAAAAUUCCCAAGUAAAGUUCAAAUCCCAGUCCAUCUGACCUAUUUCACGUUGCUUCCCAAGCCUAAUCAGAUCCGGAAAACAAAGGCGAGGACGCAGCCCACAGAAAAAUGGAAACAGCCUGAAGGCAGUUGGAAAUAUAAUUUGCACAAUCUUCCUUAAAAUAGCAUAUCAUUUCAGACCAAUAUAAUGUUAGCUUUGAAAAUUUGUGCACAUCUGAGAUAAAUGUGAAAACAACAAAUAGGUAACAUCACAAAGUUGUUACAGCAAUUGGACUAGUGGAAAGCAAAAAUAAAAAAGAAAUUGCAUUUGUGGAGGACAGGGAAAUAUAUGUCCUUAUUUAAGCUUAGUGAGACCGGAAUUAUGUCUGUCUGGUUCAGCCCUGUAACUUCAGGAUUUAUCAAAGUGCCUGUCACAUAAUGUUUCAAUUAAUAGUUUUAAAUUUUGAAGUCUUAAUUGAGAAAGACUUUGAGGACUAUAUGUAAACCCAAGAGGUCUUUACAUAAUAACAGAAGAGAACUUGAUAAAUUCAGGAUGGUCACCGAUGCGGAGUGGACAGGAGGGAUAAUGUGGAAGGGAGGAAAUCCCGUUGAUUUCACUUUGAAGAGUCCUGCAUGUUGAAGAAGAAACCAGGCCCUCAGGCAACGCUGCAAGAAGCAAACACUAAAACCAGAGCUUUUUCAAACUUCUUUCAUGCCUAUUUCUUCCCAUCGUAUUUAUACUUGGUAAUUUCAGGUGCUGCCUGUUUCUGGGAAAGUUCUUCUCAGACGCCAGCUUCAGGCAAACAGCAGUUGGACAGGCCUUUUGUUUAUUUUUGGUCCUUUUUAUUUUUUUUAGUGGAUUAUCUUUCUGUUCAGACACCACAAUCGGCCAUGGAUGAUAAGCUGAUGGCUCCUCAACAGGCUGUAUGAUGUCAUAUUAACUUCACUUUCUGGCUGUGGGAUUUGGGGAAGUCAGUCACUGCCUCAGAGUCUCAGUUUGUGUAGGAGAAAGCAAACACAGCAGAGUAUUCUAAAGAUGAAUGGAGCGUCUUGAAUAUUUUCUCUUACCUAAUUUUGUUAACAAAGGGUUCUAGAUUGCUCUGCAUUUCAUCUCACUCAGCUAGACCUGCAGCAAAAGUCAACAGCAAACAGGUGGAAGUAACUCUGCUGGACCUAAUUCAUAAAGCAGUACAUGUUGCUGAUUUAUCCUGAUGUGUGAAAAUUUUCACAGCUGUAUACAAGACACAUUCAUCUAACUGAAGAGGUUUUUCAGUCCCUAUAGGACUACAGUCAGAACAAAGGAAGAAGGAAACUCAGUUUUCCCUGCUCUGUUAGAACAAGACUGGGAACUCUCUACUCUUACUGGCUGGAGCUAGAAAGACCAGGUCAUUUAGAUGUCUGUGAGACCUCUCGCCAAAGCCAAGAAUAAAAGAUGGAAAAAAAAAUUUAUAGUGGUACAACACUCACAAUUUAUAAUUCUGAUUUUUGAAGUAUUAACUAAUAAGUAGUAUAUUGAAAUACACGUUAUGAUGCUAAGCUGAUUACUCUAUUAGACCAAUUUGGUAUACAAAAUAAUAUUAAGUCUCCUGAGAACUUUGGAAGAAAGAGUAGGUGAAACAAUGCAUUUUUACAGAAUUUGGUAAAUAAUCAUUUUUCUGUAGUGCCAUUUUAUAAAAUGUGUGACCUGCUGAGCUUUUUCAUAUCAAAUGUUCUAGUUAAUUAGCCACUUAACUUCUCAUAAAGUAUUAUCUAAACCUUCCAGAAAUGUAAUCGCUCUCACAUUCAUGCCAUAAUUCAAGGAUCAAUAAGAGCUAUUCGUGAUUUCUAUAAUCAAACAAAAAUAUAACACAAAUAAACUCUGAAUGUGCUCGUUUGGAAUAAUUUUUCAUGACCACUGCUUAGUUAUGUGUUUAUGACUUUCUAUACCCUUCAAGGAGGAGUCCUCUUAGGAGUGCUAGGCUUACCGUUGGUACUUCUGG
rnacentral:lncRNA from 1 species